UGCACAGACAUCCUGGUCCAUGGAAGAGAGAAGCCCCGGCUAGUUCUAAGGCGUGGACCUAAUUCCCACAGAUCACCACUAAUCUUGAGUGUCUCACAAACAAACAGACUUCCUGCAGCCCCUGUGCAGGGCCAAGCCUCCUGCCUGAAGACUGGAAGGCGUGAGCAUGGGAAACGGCCCCACCUUCCUGCUGAGCCUGAUUUCCCAGCCCCUUUCUAGAGUUUGUGUGAAGGAUGUUUGGCCUCCUGAAUAUUUCACUCUUUCAUGGGAUACUUCACGUCAUGUCCAGAGUCAGCAAAGCCCAAAGAUGCCCUUGUGACAA
rnacentral:lncRNA from 1 species